rnacentral:rRNA from 1 species
GACGAACGCUGGCGGCGUGCCUAACACAUGCAAGUCGAACGAGAACUUCGGGUCUAGUUGCGCACGUGUGCUUAACACGUGGGAAGCUGCCCUUGGGUUCCGUGUCACAGUUGGAAACGUCUGCUCAUACCGGUUGAUGACGUAAGUCCAAAGAUUUCUCGCGCAGGGGUGAGCGCGCGAAGGAUUAGCUAGUUGGUGGGGUAAAGGCAUACCAAGGCGACGAUGCUUAGCUGGUCUGAGAGGAUGAUCAGCUACACUGGGACUGAGACACGGCCCAGACUCCUACGGGAGGGAGCAGUAGGGAAUAUUGGACAAUGGGCGAAAGCCUGAUCCAGCAACGCCGCGGGAGUGAUGAAGGCCUUAGGGUUGUAAAGCUCUUUUACCCGGGAUGAUAAUGACAGUACCGGGAGAAUAAGCCCCGGCUAACUCCGUG